rnacentral:rRNA from 1 species
GGUGGUGAAGCUGCGGAAGGAUCAUUA